CUGGGGUAUUACAGACUGGACAGCCAUGGACCCUCUGUCUGCCUAUCCCACUCCGCCACCUAUCGGGGCCCGGGGAAAACGACUUGAAUCGGGGAAGGUGGAAGCCUAGGACUCCGUGUCUUUAUCGUGCACCCCAGAGGAUUUGGAGUCACCUGAAAAGCUGUGAGGUCCUCAGGCCAAGAGCUCCGAGGUCAAGGAGCAGGUUCCCAGGGGUCAGAGGGAUGAUGGCGGUUCCUCCACGUGAAGACAACCAGGGUGUGCAAAUAGACUGCUACUGUGGAGAGGUGAGGAAACUGAAGCCCAGGAGAAGUCAAGUAUUUUGCCUGAGGUCACGGAGA